UGGGUAACCUGCCUCAAAGAGGGGAAUAGCCUCCCGAAAGGGAGAUUAAUACCGCAUAAUAUGUUUUAGUCGCAUGACUUAAACAUCAAAGGAUUUUUCUUUUAAGAAAUUCCACUUUGAGAUGGACCCGCGGCGCAUUAGCUAGUUGGUGGGGUAACGCUCACCAAGGCAACGAUGCGUAGCCGACCUGAGAGGGUGAUCGGCCACAUUGGAACUGAGACACGGUCCAGACCUCCGUAACGGGGAGCAG
rnacentral:rRNA from 1 species